UAUCAUUGUUUCUCUCUCUCUCUCUCUCUCUCUCUCUCUUUCACUCUCCCUCUCUAUCUCUGAAGUCAUUAAAAAUGCUUUCUGUAAAAAGAAUGAACAAGGAUAUCUUUGUCUUUGCUUUUGCCUAUAUGUCAAAAGAUAAAACUCAGAAUGGGGAGAAGUAACUACCAUUGCUCCCACUCUGUUUUGUAUGUUUGUCUUCUUAGAGAAAGACUUGGUGAACUCUGAUACCCGGAAUGGGAUUGAAGCUGGGGACACUAAUGUGACAGGUGCUAGGAGGGUUCACCUGACACCUGGAGGGAGAGAUUCUCCUCCCGCAGGAAGUAGCGGACAUCCCUCCACUUUAUCUAGAACAGGGAAGGUAAAGCCUCAGGCUUCGGGCUGAGAGAGGGGAGCGCCAGAAAGGCAGGACAGAGGACAGGUCUGAGGAGCACCUUGGCCGGCAGCCGGUGGUCAGGCAAGGCAGCUAGGCCCUGGUCGUCUCUUGUAGUAUGUGCUCUGCACAUUACAUGUUGCUUCUAAACGCAGGUGUGUGUGAGAACUUAAUGCUGUGCAAGAUUCUUUUGUCAGACUAUCUUUUGUUUAUAAUUCCAUGAAGAUUGCUUUAAUUAGUCUAGGUGAAGGAGGCCUCGCUGUGUAAAUAUGUAUAAUAGAAACUGCUGAUUUCACUGUGAGAUCUCUAACUUUUGAGUGGCAAACAGAUCAACAAGUCUUUUGCUCAUGGAUUUUUCUGUGGGGUUAUUACAAUACAAAAGCUUUAUUUUUUUUAAUAAUGACAUGUUACGUUAGAUGAUGGUAUGGAAUCGUUCCCUGCUUCCCCACCAGUACUGCUUCCGUGUGUGGAUUGCCAACAGAGUUCAGAAAUAGAGCGGGAUUUGCCAUUCUUUGCUUGGACAUCCUGUUUUCUGUUGCCCAGACACACGUUGGCAAUCACAUGAACCGUGUUGGCUUCUCAGUGCUUUUUGUUUGUUUGAUGAGGUGGAUUUCAAACACAGUUGCUGUGCAAAGGUCAGUAGUCUUCUUCAAGAAGAAACCAACUCCUGUUUAGUGUCCAGUGAGAUGCUUCCUCCAUUUCUUCACUCUCAAGCCAGUGUCAGCGGAGCACUGCGGCUUUGUCUAAUGACUUGGAUAUGUAAGUAUUAACGCGUUUUUAGAAGACGUCCACAUUGAAAAUGUCUUCCCAGUGUCCUGCCUUUAUGCUUCCUUCAGACUCCUGUUGAGAGACCCACCUGCGCACUGAGGUGUGUAGUGUGUAUUGUGUACAUGUAUCAACUCAUCACUUAUUCAUUGUAGACCAAAUGGAAUCAUAAAUGAAUGUGCUGAGUUAUUGGUGAGUUUUUUGAAUUGUAAAUAGAUUUCCAGUGUACCCUUCAUUGUCUACAGCUUUUGUUUUUUAAAGGUUUAUAACUAGUUGGGUCUAUCUCAUACAAUGUUUUAGUUACAAGCAGAAAGUAGAAUUUGAUUAAACCAGGUUAUUUACAUAUUGAAAGGAAUACAAUUGAGAUUGUAGAUUUAGGAUUGUUAACCAUACAUGACAGUUCUAGCUUGACUAUUUUAGCCUACUGUAUACAAUCUGAUUUAUAAAAUUGUAGACAUGUAUGAUCUUGGUUUCAUGUGUUUUUAAAAGUAUUAUUGUUUAAAAAAAGAAAAAAAAAGCAGAUCUGCUAAAGAGCUGUCAGUUCUCAUCCCUGACUCUGUAGAAUACACUGUUCUCUGUGUACUGUGUGUCAUUUUGCCAGCUGCUGCGUUCGCCUUCAAAAGUAUUUGGAAACUUAAGAUGAACUACAUUUCUUGCAAAGUAUAUUCCUUUCUGUGGUAUUUUUGUCCUGUAACUGAAGUAUAGUAAUUAUUUUAUGGAAAUGUUAGCACUUAUGUACCAACUUUGAAUAAAAUGAAAAAUUGACA